CCUCUAAUGUGCUGAUUAUUGUAUAUGAGGCAAACUCAGCCUCUAAAGAAGGUUCGUCUGAGUCCCUGGAAGCUUGGCUAGAUAAGCGUUGAGGCACCAACUCAUAGUCCAAUGACCUCUUCAUUAGCCUCAAUGCUUCUCUUAGACAAAGAUGAAAGAAAGAGGAAAAGAUAGGCGAGAUGGGAAAAGAAAACUGGGAUGAAAGCCAAAAGCCUACUAGAAAUAUUGGAUGAAGAAGACUUCACCAAGAAAAUGGAGGAUGGAUGCCUGCAAAAAUGAAAAUUAAAAAGAGCCCUAGAUGAUAGUAGAGUAAA
rnacentral:lncRNA from 1 species